rnacentral:tRNA from 1 species
GCAGUCGAGGCCGAGUGGUUAAGGCGAUGGACUUGAAAUCCAUUGGGGUCUCCCCGCACAGGUUCGAAUCCUGUCGACUGCG